rnacentral:rRNA from 1 species
GACGAACGCUGGCGGCGUGCUUAACACAUGCAAGUCGAACGGAAAGGCCCUGCUUUUGUGGGGUGCUCGAGUGGCGAACGGGUGAGUAACACGUGAGUAACCUGCCCUUGACUUUGGGAUAACUUCAGGAAACUGGGGCUAAUACCGGAUAGUAGCUCCUGCUGCAUGGUGGGGGUUGGAAAGUUUCGGCGGUUGGGGAUGGGCUCGCGGCUUAUCAGCUUGUUGGUGGGGUAGUGGCUUACCAAGGCUUUGACGGGUAGCCGGCCUGAGAGGGUGACCGGCCACAUUGGGACUGAGAUACGGCCCAGACUCCUACGGGAGGCAGCAGUGGGGAAUAUUGCACAAUGGGCGGAAGCCUGAUGCAGCAACGCCGCGUGCGGGAUGACGGCCUUCGGGUUGUAAACCGCUUUCGCCUGUGACGAAGCGUGAGUGACGGUAAUGGGUAAAGAAGCACCGGCUAACUACGUG